rnacentral:rRNA from 1 species
UCCAUUAAGCCUUUUUUUCAACUUUUGACCUCGGAUCAGGUAGGGAUACCCGCUGAACUUAAGCAUAUCAAUAAGCCCGGAGGAACCAU